rnacentral:rRNA from 1 species
UACAGAGGGGGCGAGCGUUGUUCGGAAUUACUGGGCGUAAAGGGCGCGUAGGCGGCCCGCUAAGUCGAACGUGAAAUCCCCAGGCUCAACCUGGGAACUGCGUCCGAUACUGGCAGGCUUGAAUCCGGGAGAGGGAUGUGGAAUUCCAGGUGUAGCGGUGAAAUGCGUAGAUAUCUGGAGGAACACCGGUGGCGAAGGCGGCAUCCUGGACCGGUAUUGACGCUGAGGUGCGAAAGCGUGGGGAGCAAACAGG